GAUGAACGCUAGCUACAGGCUUAACACAUGCAAGUCGAGGGGCAUCAUGCUUAUAGCAAUAUAAGUGAUGGCGACCGGCGCACGGGUGAGUAACACGUAUCCAACCUGCCGAUAACUCGGGGAUAGCCUUUCGAAAGAAAGAUUAAUACCCGAUGGUAUAAUAAAACCGCAUGGUUUAAUUAUUAAAGAAUUUCGGUUAUCGAUGGGGAUGCGUUCCAUUAGGCAGUUGGUGAGGUAACGGCUCACCAAACCUUCGAUGGAUAGGGGUUCUGAGAGGAAGGUCCCCCACAUUGGAACUGAGACACGGUCCAA
rnacentral:rRNA from 1 species